GCACACAUGGUGUAGCGGUAACAUUCAACCCUUCCAAGGUUGAGCUCUGGGUUCGACUCCCAGUGUGUGCA
rnacentral:tRNA from 1 species